ACAAUGCAUUUUGCAGCAUAAAAAAGAUGAAAAGAAGCUGGCAGAUCAGAUCUCAAAGGUUUUGGAGCAAAGAGACAAUGAUAUGAUGCACAUUCAGGAAAACCACACUAAGCUAAUUACUCAGAUGAAGCAAGAUCACAGUGAACAACUAAAGUGUCUGAGAGAGAAAAAUAUUUCUAUGUCGAAAAACUUUAAAUAUUUUAUUAAAGUAUUGGAGCAUGAACAUGAGCUAAGUUUCAGAAGCCGGAAGAUCGGACCUCCUCAGUUGUUUUGGAGCAAAAAGACAAGAAAACAAGUUCUAUGUGGAAAAACUUUAAAUAUGCGAUUAAAAAAUUGAAUCAUGAGCUAAGUUUCAGAAGCUGGAAGAUCGGAUCUCCUCAGUGGUUUUGGAGCAAAAAGACAAGGCUGUUAAGGCUAUUGAAAAAAUUGAAGCAAGCUGUGUCAUAAAACUCGCAAAUUGCAAAGAAGAGUCAACAAAGCAGAAGUUGAUGCACAUUCAAGAAGAACUCACUAAGCUGGUUACUCGUAUGCAGUAGUACAACCGUGAACGUUUGAAGGAUUUGAGACAGAAAACAAUUACUAUGUCAAGAGAGGUUGAAACUUUAUUUAAAGAAUUGGGGCAUCGACUUGAAGUUAAGGGUCAGAAAGCUGGAAGAGGAGUUGCUAUCAUUUGAAUGAGAUAAUGUAUUUUCUUUCAUAUGGGCUAGAUGCAUAAUUGAAUAUGUAGUGUUAACUUUCUUUGGUGGAGACCUAUACUUCGAUAUAUUCGAUAGGAAUUCUCUGAGUUAUUUCUAUCAGGUUCUCCUCAAUUCAUCCAACAAUGUCGAGUAUUACAAAUUUGCAUGAACUAAUAAUGAUCUGGUGCACUACUAGAGUACUAGGCCUAUAUGAUCAGUUUUGAUUUCUAUGUAAAUUCAAUUUAUGUUUAUAAUAAUUGUAAAGGAGGCUUUGAGGAUAUCUUGAUAAAGGGGAUGUAAAUCCAAUCCAACACCAUCAUCAACUGCACAUUUUAACAAAAAAUUAUGUGAAGUAAGAAGGUUGAGAAUGAUGUAGUUGAUGAAGGGAAAAGGGUUGCUGUUUUAGUGAAUGAAG